UCAGAUCAAUCUUCCUAUUCAUUCAUUGCACGCUGUUAUUCUGCAGGACCGGCGAAGUGCAAGGUCAUGUACAAGGGAUAAGCUGGUCAAUGAAGGAAAUUCUAAAAGAAAGCGACUACAAGCAACAUUUGAAGUGAGCUGGGAGCCGGGGUCAUCCUUCUCACCACCAGUCGAACAUACUACUUCAGCCACCAUGUUGAGCGAUAUAAAAGUGUUCUCUAUUUCAGAGAGCAACAACACGAGAUUGUGCCCCCUCUUGCUCCAU